UAUCACAAGAGUGCACACGCUGAAAUGUCUCGCCUUCUUUACUAAUCAUUGAUAUUAUGUUGAUAGUCCUAAAUAUAAAGCUUUAUUACAACUGUCACCUAAACUUAACAUUAACCAAGAAAACUAAACAUUGACCAAUGAACCAUGAAAAUGAGGUCAAGGUCAGAUGAACCGUGCCAGGCAGACAUGUACAGUUAACAAUUCUUCCAUACAACAAAUAUAGUUGACCUAUUGCUUAUAGUUUAAGAAAAACAGACCAAAACACAAAAACUUAACACUGAGCAAUGAACCGUGAAAAUGAAGUUAAGGUCAUAUAAAACCUGCAAGACUGACAUAUAGAUCAUAAAAUAUUUCCAUACACCAAAUAUAGUUGACCUAUGGCAUAUAGUAUUAGAAAAAAAGACCAAAACUCAAAAACUUAACUUUGACCACUGAACCAUGAAAACGAGGUCAAGGUCAGAUGACACCUGCCAGCUAGACAUGUACACCUUACAAUCAUUCCAUACACCAAAUAUAGUAGACCUAUUGCAUACAGUAUAAGAAAAACAGACCAAAACACAAAAACUUAACUAUAACCACUGAACCAUGAAAAUGAGGUCAAGGUCAGAUGACACCUGCCAGUUGGACAUGUACACCUUACAGUCCUUCCAUACACCGAAUAUACUAGACCUAUUGCUUAUAGUAUCUGAGAUAUGGACUUGACCACCAAAACUUAACCUUGUUCACUGAUCCAUGAAAUGAGGUCGAGGUCAAGUGAAAACUGUCUGACGGGCAUGAGGACCUUGCAAGGUACGCACAUACCAAAUAUAGUUAUCCUAUUACUUAUAAUAAGAGAGAAUUUAACAUUAUAAAAAAUCUGAACUUUUUUUUCAAGUAGUCACUGAACCAUGAAAAUGAGGUCAAGGACAUUGGACAUGUGACUGACGGAAA